CCCUUGGCGGCGGCUGACCCGUGCUCUCGGUGUCUUCCCGGAGUCGGGUUGUCUGGGAAUGCAGCCCAAAGCGGGUGGUAAACUCCAUCUAAGGCUAAAUACGGUCACGAGACCGAUAGCGAACAAGUACCGUGAGGGAAAGUUGAAAAGCACUUUGGAGAGAGAGUUAAAAAGUACGUGAAACCGUCGAGAGGCAAACGGGAGGGCCUGUCGGGUCGUUCGGUCGCUUUCAGGCGGGCCGGAGACCGGGUCGCGGGAUCGGGGACCUUCGCGGGCCUCGACUCGCGUCGCCGGCCGACGGCUCGGCGCACUAGCGUCGGACGAGGGCCGCGACCGGCUGGGCGGCGGGCAAACGGCUCCGGGCAAGGUAACCCCGCUUCGGCGGGGUGCUACAGGCCCGGUGCGCGCAAGGGUCGCCGCCCGGUCGAGGAGAGAUGCGCGCCGCACCUGCCCCGUUCGCGGGGCCGGGGAAGCCGUUCGAGCAGCGUCGUGUCGCGGUCCGGGACUGUCCUCAGUCCCGGGUCGUCUCGGCGCGGUUCCGAGCGGUCGCUCCCUCGCGAGGUGCCGCGGGUCAGCGGCUGACGCCAGCCACCUUCCCGACCCGUCUUGAAACACGGACCAAGGAGUCUAACAUGUGCGCGAGCCGCGGGGCAGUACGAAACCCGUAAGGCGA
rnacentral:ncRNA from 1 species